AUUUAUAUAGUUUAACAAAAACCUUACAUUUUCAAUGUAAAAAUAAAAUUAUUUUUUUUUAUAAAUU
rnacentral:tRNA from 1 species